UACGUAGGGGGGCAAGCGUUGUCCGGAUUUAUUGGGCGUAAAGAGCGUGUAGGCGGUUUGGUAGGUCCGUUGUGAAAACUCGAGGCUCAACCUCGAGACGCCGAUGGAAACCAUCAGACUAGAGUCCGGAAGAGGAGAGUGGAAUUCCUGGUGUAGCGGUGAAAUGCGCAGAUAUCAGGAAGAACACCCGUGGCUAAGGCGGCUCUCUAGUACGGUACUGACGCUGAGACGCGAAAGCGUGAGGAGCGAACAGG
rnacentral:rRNA from 1 species